GCGGGUGUAGUUCAAUGGUAGAACACCAGCCUUCCAAGCUGGUCACGUGGGUUCGAUUCCCAUCAUCCGCUCCA
rnacentral:tRNA from 1 species